UAACCCAAACUAAAUCAAACAUAUGCAUUGGUAUACCUACCAUGUGUGUUACGGAUUAUAUGUUUUGAGUUUUUAAUUAUCAUCACUGUAUUUGAAUGCUAUAAAUUUCAGAUGUUGCUUUUUUGAAUUUGAUAUGUAUUGUAUACUUUUUUUUCAGUUUAAGUAUUAAAUUUUCCAUGUUUAGACUUUUAAUUAUGUAUUUUACUUGAGUAUAAUCCGAACCGAUCUAAAUAACAUGAACUCAAUCGAUAUAUGAUUAUUUUAUGGGCUUUAGGAUAUAAUACAAAA
rnacentral:lncRNA from 1 species